rnacentral:rRNA from 1 species
GAUUUCUGGCGAACCGGCACAACCCGGUACCGUAUGGUGCUGAGUGCUGUGUCGUGUUUGUCAUCCUUCCGGAAAGCUGCGUCUACCAUUCAGUUGGCCGGACGUACGUGAUCCGGAUCUAUUACUUUGAAAAAAUUAGAGUGUUUAAAGCAGGCUUAUGCUGUGAAUACAUUAGCAUGGAAUAAUAAUUUAGGACUUCGGUCCUAUUUUGUUGGUUUCUAGGACAGAAGUAAUGAUUGAUAGGGACAGUUGGGGGUGCUAGUAUUCCGCGGCCAGAGGUGAAAUUCUUGGAUUCGCGGAAGACUAACUACUGCGAAAGCAUU